CUUAAUUUUCUUUCAUCUUCAUUGAUAGUACUACACAUAGCCUACCUUUACAAAAAAUACAACCUCCAACAUUACCAAAAAGCCCAACAUAUUACUCACCUUCAUUAACUUAUAAUCUAACACCUCUAAUUAACCCACUUUUCGACAACUUCUGUUCCUUCUGUGUCUCUGUCUAUGAGUGUCAACACCGCUGCCAGGCGUCAAGCGUUCCAAGGAUCCACGCAUCUUCCACAUCUGUUGAAAAAUUUAUUAUUCAGUACCAUAGCAUAACCCUUCUAUUAAAACCACGAGUAAAUUUUUAAUGUUAUUGUCAUGAUUAGUUUUGCUUCGAUUUCACAGAAUAUACGCACACACUUCAAACAAAAAUUGGAAAAGAGAUAGCUAUUUUCGUAUCUGCGUCGUUAUCAGAGAUAAUAUGCAAGCCUUCUGUAUAAGCCUCUGACCAAAAUUAUUUUACUCUUAGAAUUUAAUGACAAUUUGAAGGUUGAGAGUCAUGAAAUGAUGCUUUAUGAGCUAAAUACACUUGAAUGGGAUGACCUCGUGCUUUCAAAUGACAACACCUCUACUAAAGCCACUAGUGAAACACCAAGUGACAAUGGAUGGACAGAGGAACUCAAACAUGGGAAGCGAAUUGAAUCUCGAUAUAGUCACUGCUGCAGUUUAUGGUGGAAUGUGCAUGGGGGUAUUAACUGUGCUUUGAGACUUGAUGAUGGGUCCAUUUGGCAUAGGAGAUGAUAUCAUGCUUGCUGCUACCAUCUUUUGUGAGUUAUCUGAGACAUUAGAAAAGCAACAUGACCUCUGAACUUGGCUUUAAGGAAUUAGUUUCUUUUUUGAUUGGCAACUAGCUUACAGUUAGUUUAGUUAGUUGGCCUUCUUGUAAAUAACAAUUAAUUUCACUAGUUUAUGUAUUUGGAUAUUUGGAUUUGGUUUGCGGGUUUUGAUGUCUAUACCAAAGCCAACGGUUAUACAGGAGCCGAUCCUUAUAAAAUAUCAUUUCAAGUUGGAAGAGAAAAGUUCUUAAUCCCAUGGCUUCCUGUGGUAAACCAAAAAAGUACAGAGGUUUCGAUGAUCGAAGUAGAAUUGACAAUGUGUUUAAGAUAGUUCUGAUAUAGGAACUUAUCGAGUUUAUCUAAUUAUUCUAGUUAUUAAUUGGAUCAUAUGAGUUCAUGGAUGCAAAACAACAAAGACUUUUUGAAAUAAAAGCUUUCUACUUCAAUGUUUCUAAGGUUUAUUUUAAACUGUCAACAGAUAGGCAGUUUUUGCUUUUUUUUCAUUGUAAUUUGGAAUUUUCGUGUAGUAGUACUUGUAUUAUAGGGUAUACUAUUUGUAUUAUUAGAGGAUUGUGAUUUAAACGAAUAUAAGUUUGAAUUUAGUUA